GCCUCUUAAUUCAUAUAAAUUUCCAUCUAUAUCUCCAUCACAAGAUCGUUUUAAAAGGAAAAAUUUCACAUUUCAAAAUUCGACGCGUGUCUAUCGAAAUUGAGAUAGACUGCAACUUUUCACACGGAAAUCACGCUAUUUUUACCGAAGGAACUCUCAAUAAUUCAACACAUUUUCGUCAGGGUCUCAACGUUCGCCCGAUUCUUCUCCUCGCGCCUCAAUCUUUCCGGAUCGAGCGGACAUGUUUUAUUCACCGAGAAACUUCUACCGUGUUCUCAAACUACUUCUCGAGUGACCGAUUUAACGAACUUCUCGUGUUCUCGGUUUGGAUUAUCCGUUUUUUGGUUUUUGAAAUUGGAAAUUUGUCGAUACGAUUUUACAUAAUGAUUUUCGACCUAUACGAAAUAUCGAGCUAAAUUUGAUUAAAAGUGAAGGAUUUCUUCUUUUUGGACGAAGAAAAAUGGACUGUUUACACGGAAAUAAAAAUAAAAGUUUUUGAUUAUUGAUCGAAAAAGUUUAAGUUAAGAUUUCGCACGAAAGGAAAAAGUUACAUUAAAAUUGCGUGAAACUGCAAGAAUUUUCUUCUUUGAAUGCAAAUAAAAAAAGAAGAAGCGUAUUGGCACACCGGAGUUUCAGUUACGUUCGAGCGCAUCACGAAACGUUGGCUGUACGUUGGAUGAUCGAUAGAGUUAAUAUUGACGUCUAUUGUUCCGCAAGAUAACCGAAAAGAACGCGAGGAAAACGCAUGCCCACACACGAUAUCAAACCGAUCGGACAGCGGUGGAAGGUGCGAUAAUUAAUUUUCUCGCGGCAAAUUUCCAUGCUGGGAUGUAUCCCAUAUCC